GUAAGGGCCUGAUCCAAAGCCCAUUGAAGUCAAUGGAAAAGCUCCCAUUGACUUGAAUGGCUUUUGGAUCAAGCCCUAAAUGC
rnacentral:pre_miRNA from 1 species